rnacentral:rRNA from 1 species
AGAGUUUGAUCCUGGCUCAGAUUGAACGCUGGCGGCAUGCUUUACACAUGCAAGUCGAACGGGCUUAGGGGCUUGCUCCUAAGUUAGUGGCGAACGGGUGAGUAAUACAUCGGAACGUACCGUGUAGUGGGGGAUAACGUAGCGAAAGUUACGCUAAUACCGCAUACGAUCCACGGAUGAAAGUGGGGGACCUUCGGGCCUCACGCUAUACGAGCGGCCGAUGUCUGAUUAGCUAGUUGGUGAGGUAAAGGCUCACCAAGGCAACGAUCAGUAGCGGGUCUGAGAGGAUGAUCCGCCACACUGGGACUGAGACACGGCCCAGACUCCUACGGGAGGCAGCAGUGGGGAAUUUUGGACAAUGGGCGAAAGCCUGAUCCAGCCAUGCCGCGUGUCUGAAGAAGGCCUUCGGGUUGUAAAGGACUUUUGUCAGGGAGCAAAACUUAGAGGUUAAUAACCUUUGAGGUUGAGAGUACCUGAAGAAUAAGCACCGGCUAACUACGUG